UACAAAUGUGAAGAAGUUGAGAGUGGAUAAUAUUUUAUUUCCAACUACAACUUUGUAGAUUUUUUCUAUAUUGCUCAUAGAAUUCUAAAAAUUAUAAGUACACAUUCCAACCAUAACAUGGAAAAAAAAAAAAAAAAAAAAAAAAAAAAACAGUUAUUAAUGUAUAAUGAGAUGCCUCAUAUAUAGAAUUUUACUAAUGAUUAAUUAAAUCUUUAGAGUUCAUAGAUAC
rnacentral:lncRNA from 1 species